UCUUUUCCUUAGAAAAAAACAUUGGAAUUACUUCCUCCGAAGGAUGUUUCAAACACAAAAAGAGAACCUCCCUCUACCUAUCCUUUUCUCUCAUUCAAAAAUCUUCUUCUUUAAUCUUUUAGCUAAAGGUAUAAACUUAUCCCCUACAUUCCACAAAGCGGCGGCUGACCAUUUCUUCACGCUUUUGGCCUUGGUUCAUGGAAUUAUGACAGCAAAAUGAAGAAAUUCUAUUUCUCCCAUGCGGAGUGAUGGAUUAUGAAUGGAUGCCAUGUCGUUGGAUGCAUCAAACCUUGGAUUAAAAGGCCAUUGGACAAAAAUGAACAACAUUUUUAGAACGUGAAGCUGUUG